rnacentral:rRNA from 1 species
CGCUAGCUACAGGCUUAACACAUGCAAGUCGAGGGGCAGCAUGGUCUUAGCUUGCUAAGGCUGAUGGCGACCGGCGCACGGGUGAGUAACACGUAUCCAACCUGCCGUCUACUCUUGGCCAGCCUUCUGAAAGGAAGAUUAAUCCAGGAUGGGAUCAUGAGUUCACAUGUCCGCAUGAUUAAAGGUAUUUUCCGGUAGACGAUGGGGAUGCGUUCCAUUAGAUAGUAGGCGGGGUAACGGCCCACCUAGUCAACGAUGGAUAGGGGUUCUGAGAGGAAGGUCCCCCACAUUGGAACUGAGACACGGUCCAAACUCCUACGGGAGGCAGCAGUGAGGAAUAUUGGUCAAUGGGCGAUGGCCUGAACCAGCCAAGUAGCGUGAAGGAUGACUGCCCUAUGGGUUGUAAACUUCUUUUAUAAAGGAAUAAAGUCGGGUAUGCAUACCCGUUUGCAUGUACUUUAUGAAUAAGGAUCGGCUAACUCCGUGCCAGCAGCCGCGGUAAUACGGAGGAUCCGAGCGUUAUCCGGAUUUAUUGGGUUUAAAGGGAGCGUAGAUGGAUGUUUAAGUCAGUUGUGAAAGUUUGCGGCUCAACCGUAAAAUUGCAGUUGAUACUGGAUGUCUUGAGUGCAGUUGAGGCAGGCGGAAUUCGUGGUGUAGCGGUGAAAUGCUUAGAUAUCACGAAGAACUCCGAUUGCGAAGGCAGCCUGCUAAGCUGCAACUGACAUUGAGGCUCGAAAGUGUGGGUAUCAAACAGGAUUAGAUACCCUGGUAGUCCACACGGUAAACGAUGAAUACUCGCUGUUUGCGAUAUACGGCAAGCGGCCAAGCGAAAGCGUUAAGUAUUCCACCUGGGGAGUACGCCGGCAAACGUGAAACUCAAAGGAAUUGA